AUGUGUGUGUGUGAUGGGAAGGACCCAGUAGACGACUUAGGAGGGAAAACAAAAGGAGUUGUGAAGGCAUUUCCUCUAGUGGCAGGAGGAGCCGGGGUCCAGGGUGCAAGUGGAAGGGUGGCUUUUUAUGGAGCAGGAGCUCGAGGAGAUCUCCUGAGUGGACAACUCGUACAACCUUCUCUGAUAGGCUGGGCCAGCCCCGGCUCUGAAGGGCUCAGUGCAUCAGUUACGACACUCCUGGGGGGCGCUGCUGUCACCCAGGCCCGGCUCACAUUUGUGUCCCGUGUUCCAUGGAAGCCUUUGUGUCCGUGUAUGAAGCUCCUGCGGUGUGCAGGGCGCCUUAGAACUUUAUCCUUUGUAUUCCCAGGCGAGAAGCAAGAGGAGCGCUCAGCCGGGGUGGGGGCGGGGCGCGCCGCGUCCCAGUCCGGGUCUCGGUGGGCCUGUCGGUCCGACCGCUCCCGGCAGCAGCGCGCGGGGGGCGCGAGUGCACGCAUUCCCGGCAAGCUGGGCUUCGGUGGGAAGCCCGCCCUGCGGGCUCCCUGCAGCCUCCACACGGCACCCUGUCUUCGGCGCACGCCUGGGGGCUCUGGAGCAAAGAGCUCGCGGGCUUGGGCUGACAGCGGUGCGCAGAGGGAAGCGACACCCGCGUCCCCAGCCACUGCCCUGAGCCACGUGGCCGCUCCCCUCCCUUGUUGCUACAGUCCGGGGCAUCAGACAGGAGGAGGUUGCGUCCCCAUCCCGGCUCUGGGUUGCUCUGGGGCUGAGCGCAGCUUUCUCUCUGUAUUGCGUUUUAGCAUCGCUGGGGCAGAAAAGACCCCUAGGGUGGAGGGGCAUGAGAGGGCAGGCCCCUGCUCUCUUAAGAGUGGUCGUUUGGGGUCCUCCCGCCCGCACGGAGGCGAGGGCGCGUGUCCCUGCUUGGGAGGAGCGCGCCUCACGCGGGCGACAUCCCCGCAGACCUGGUGGUCCCCGCGCGCGGGCUCCAUCCAUUCACUGCGACUCCCAGAGCCGAGCGGCGGCCCCAAGACUCCAACAGAAUCUAUGAAUGGGAAGGGAGAAGAGAAGCAACGUCUGUUUCCACUCUGUGCUUCCCUGCCCCCUCCCCUCCUCCCUCCAGGCAGAGCGAGCCCGAUACAAAGUGACAAGGGCAGGGCGGGCGGCACUGCGGGGGCGUGA
rnacentral:lncRNA from 1 species